AGUGAACGCUGGCGGUAGGCCUAACACAUGCAAGUCGAACGGCAGCACAGUAAGAGCUUGCUCUUACGGGUGGCGAGUGGCGGACGGGUGAGGAAUACAUCGGAAUCUACUUUUUCGUGGGGGAUAACGUAGGGAAACUUACGCUAAUACCGCAUACGACCUACGGGGGAAAGCAGGGGAUCUUCGGACCUUGCGCGAUUGAAUGAGCCGAUGUCAGAUUAGCUAGUUGGCGGGGUAAAGGCCCACCAAGGCGACGAUCCGUAGCUGGUCUGAGAGGAUGAUCAGCCACACUGGAACUGAGACACGGUCCAGACUCCUACGGGAGGCAGCAGUGGGGAAUAUUGGACAAUGGGCGCAAGCCUGAUCCAGCCAUACCGCGUGUGUGAAGAAGGCCUUCGGGUUGUAAAGCCCUUUUGUUGGGAAAGAAAAGCAGCAGGUUAAUACCCCGCUGUUCUGACGGUACCCAAAGAAUAAGCACCGGCUAACUUCGUG
rnacentral:rRNA from 1 species